rnacentral:rRNA from 1 species
AAUGAUUAAGCCAUGCAUGUCUAAGUAUAAGCAAUUUAUACAGUGAAACUGCGAAUGGCUCAUUAAAUCAGUUAUCGUUUAUUUGAUAGUACCUUUACUACUUGGAUAACCGUGGUAAUUCUAGAGCUAAUACAUGCUAAAAAUCCCGACUGUUUGGAAGGGAUGUAUUUAUUAGAUAAAAAAUCAAUGCUUUUCGGAGCUCUUUGAUGAUUCAUAAUAACUUUUCGAAUCGCAUGGCCUUGUGCUGGCGAUGGUUCAUUCAAAUUUCUGCCCUAUCAACUUUCGAUGGUAGGAUAGUGGCCUACCAUGGUUU